UUUCCGUAGGUGAACCUGCGGAAGGAUCAUUACCAAUAAGCGUUUCAUGGCGCUCUAUAACCCAUCCGUGUUCACCAUGUGUGCAACGUUCGGAGACCCCCCAUCGAUAGCUUCUAGGUGGCGGACGGGCGCACCUCCACGACUGCCCAACAUCACCCUGAACUUAUUUGUCUGAUUACUUGUUAUCACGAAUUAACAAAAUUCUAAAACUCACCUUUAAAGAACGGUUCUCUUGGCCCUCGCAGCGAUGAAGAACACAGCAGAUGGGAACAGCGCUGG
rnacentral:misc_RNA from 1 species